rnacentral:rRNA from 1 species
AGCCCGCUCGCCGGAAGACCAAGGGUUCCUGUCCAACGUUAAUCGGGGCAGGGUGAGUCGACCCCUAAGGCGAGGCCGAAAGGCGUAGUCGAUGGGAAACAGGUUAAUAUUCCUGUACUUGGUGUUACUGCGAAGGGGGGACGGAGAAGGCUAUGUUGGCCGGGCGACGGUUGUCCCGGUUUAAGCGUGUAGGCUGGUUUUCCAGGCAAAUCCGGAAAACCAAGGCUGAGGCGUGAUGACGAGGCACUACGGUGCUGAAGCAACAAAUGCCCUGCUUCCAGGAAAAGCCUCUAAGCAUCAGGUAACAUCAAAUCGUACCCCAAACCGACACAGGUGGUCAGGUAGAGAAUACCAAGGCGCUUGAGAGAACUCGGGUGAAGGAACUAGGCAAAAUGGUGCCGUAACUUCGGGAGAAGGCACGCUGAUAUGUAGGUGAAGCGACUUGCUCGUGGAGCUGAAAUCAGUCGAAGAUACCAGCUGGCUGCAACUGUUUAUUAAAAACACAGCACUGUGCAAACACGAAAGUGGACGUAUACGGUGUGACGCCUGCCCGGUGCCGGAAGGUUAAUUGAUGGGGUUAGCGGUAACGCGAAGCUCUUGAUCGAAGCCCCGGUAAACGGCGGCCGUAACUAUAACGGUCCUAAGGUAGCGAAAUUCCUUGUCGGGUAAGUUCCGACCUGCACGAAUGGCGUAAUGAUGGCCAGGCUGUCUCCACCCGAGACUCAGUGAAAUUGAACUCGCUGUGAAGAUGCAGUGUACCCGCGGCAAGACGGAAAGACCCCGUGAACCUUUACUAUAGCUUGACACUGAACAUUGAGCCUUGAUGUGUAGGAUAGGUGGGAGGCUUUGAAGUGUGGACGCCAGUCUGCAUGGAGCCGACCUUGAAAUACCACCCUUUAAUGUUUGAUGUUCUAACGUGGGCCCCUUACCGGGGUUGCGGACAGUGUCUGGUGGGUAGUUUGACUGGGGCGGUCUCCUCCUAAAGAGUAACGGAGGAGCACGAAGGUUGGCUAAUCCUGGUCGGACAUCAGGAGGUUAGUGCAAUGGCAUAAGCCAGCUUGACUGCGAGCGUGACGGCGCGAGCAGGUGCGAAAGCAGGUCAUAGUGAUCCGGUGGUUCUGAAUGGAAGGGCCAUCGCUCAACGGAUAAAAGGUACUCCGGGGAUAACAGGCUGAUACCGCCCAAGAGUUCAUAUCGACGGCGGUGUUUGGCACCUCGAUGUCGGCUCAUCACAUCCUGGGGCUGAAGUAGGUCCCAAGGGUAUGGCUGUUCGCCAUUUAAAGUGGUACGCGAGCUGGGUUUAGAACGUCGUGAGACAGUUCGGUCCCUAUCUGCCGUGGGCGCUGGAGAACUGAGGGGGGCUGCUCCUAGUACGAGAGGACCGGAGUGGACGCAUCACUGGUGUUCGGGUUGUCAUGCCAAUGGCACUGCCCGGUAGCUAAAUGCGGAAGAGAUAAGUGCUGAAAGCAUCUAAGCACGAAACUUGCCCCGAGAUGAGUUCUCCCUGAGACUUAGAGUCUCCUGAAGGAACGUUGAAGACGACGACGUUGAUAGGCCGGGUGUGUAAGCGCAGCGAUGCGUUGAGCUAACCGGUACUAAUGAACCGUGAGGCUUAACC